UUAAAAAAUAUUAUAUCUAUAUAGAUUAAUCUAGAUUUGGCAAGUACUCCUCGUUAGCAUUUUUUUCGUCCAGAAAAUUUGAGAAGUUGCCUAUUCACCUUCAUCACAAUUUCCAAACUCCACUUUGGAACAAAAAAUAGCUGCUGAAAGGCCCUGCCUAAUGAACUAUUGACCUGUGGAUGUUCUGCUAGAGUCCUUGAUCUCAGCCACGGCUCAAUACAGCGUCUUCCUGCCACAAAUAAUAACUUGAGUUCUCUUUAGCAUAGCAACAUUGCCCAAAAGAAAUCGGCACUUGGACCAGUAUGAGACAACUUCAUAUUGCACUUAACUAUUUAACACGUCUCCCAUCUGAGGCAGGUGUGCUUCUCUUAUUGCGGUAAAGAAAUUGGGCUUAUUUCUAUUUUAUUAACUGGAAUCAAGAAAUCCAAAUUCAUCCUAUCAUUGUUCUGAUGAGAAAGGUUAAGAAUUCAAAAACUGAACGUGAGUUGACUGAUUAAUGGUAAGAACUAUGUCUUAGUAAAACUUAGCCAGAUUUUCUAGAGUUCUUGGAUAUAAUGUUUGUUACUCAAACAUGGACAAAUUUAUGAUGACAAAUUAUAGAAUAUAUAUUCACUUGUAGUUCAGAUUAUGUGUGUUGGUUAAUAGAAUGCUUAAACCAAAGCUAAAAUGUGAAUGCUUUUACAGAAUAUGUUGAUAUGUAUCUUUAGCCAGUGAAAGAAUGUAGAUUUAGCCCAUGGCUGGUGAAUAAAUUAUAGUGUAUUCGGAUU